UACGUAGGGUGCAAGCGUUAAUCGGAAUUACUGGGCGUAAAGCGUGCGCAGGCGGUUGUGCAAGACAGAUGUGAAAUCCCCGGGCUCAACCUGGGAACUGCAUUUGUGACUGCACGGCUGGAGUGCGGCAGAGGGGGACGGAAUUCCGCGUGUAGCAGUGAAAUGCGUAGAUAUGCGGAGGAACACCGAUGGCGAAGGCAAUCCCCUGGGCCUGCACUGACGCUCAUGCACGAAAGCGUGGGGAGCAACAGG
rnacentral:rRNA from 1 species